GGGGGGGGGGCAGCCUGAUCCAGCAUGCCGCGUGUGUGAAGAAGGCCUUCGGGUUGUAAAGCACUUUUGUCCGGAAAGAAAACGCUCUGGUUAAUACCUGGGGCGGAUGACGGUACCGGAAGAAUAAGCACCGGCUAACUACGUGCCAGCAGCCGCGGUAAUACGUAGGGUGCGAGCGUUAAUCGGAAUUACUGGGCGUAAAGCGUGCGCAGGCGGUUUUGUAAGACAGGCGUGAAAUCCCCGAGCUCAACUUGGGAAUUGCGCUUGUGACUGCAAGGCUAGAGUAUGUCAGAGGGGGGUAGAAUUCCACGUGUAGCAGUGAAAUGCGUAGAGAUGUGGAGGAAUACCGAUGGCGAAGGCAGCCCCCUGGGACGUCACUGACGCUCAUGCACGAAAGCGUGGGGAGCAAACAGGAUUAGAUACCCUGGUAGUCCACGCCCUAAACGAUGUCAACUAGUUGUUGGGGAUUCAUUUCUUCAGUAACGUAGCUAACGCGUGAAGUUGACCGCCUGGGGAGUACGGUCGCAAGAUUAAAACUCAAAAAAAUUGUGACGGGGAG
rnacentral:rRNA from 1 species